UGAGGAACAUGACUUUCGGCGGGGGAUAGCCGGCCCAACGGCCGGGUAAUACCGCGUACGACCACAUGGGGACAUCCCUGAGUGGUGAAAGCAGCAAUGCGCCGAUGGAGUGCCUCGCGGCCUAUCAGCUAGUUGGUGAGAUAACGGCCCACCAAGGCGACGACGGGUAGCUGGUCUGAGAGGAUGGCCAGCCACAGUUGGGACUGAGACACGGCCCAGACCUNUACCGGGAGG
rnacentral:rRNA from 1 species